rnacentral:rRNA from 1 species
AGAGUUUGAUCAUGGCUCAGAUUGAACGCUGGCGGCAGGCUUAACACAUGCAAGUCGAACGGUAACAGGGAGAAGCUUGCUUCUUUGCUGACGAGUGGCGGACGGGUGAGUAAUGCUUGGGAAUCUGGCUUAUGGAGGGGGAUAACUACGGGAAACUGUAGCUAAUACCGCGUAAUAUCUUCGGAUUAAAGGGUGGGACUUUCGGGCCACCUGCCAUAAGAUGAGCCCAAGUGGGAUUAGGUAGUUGGUGGGGUAAAGGCCUACCAAGCCGACGAUCUCUAGCUGGUCUGAGAGGAUGGCCAGCCACACUGGAACUGAGACACGGUCCAGACUCCUACGGGAGGCAGCAGUGGGGAAUAUUGCACAAUGGGGGGAACCCUGAUGCAGCCAUGCCGCGUGAAUGAAGAAGGCCUUCGGGUUGUAAAGUUCUUUCGGUGAUGAGGAAGGUGUUUGUUUUAAUAGAACAAGCAAUUGACGUUAGUCACAGAAGAAGCACCGGCUAACUCCGUGCCAGCAGCCGCGGUAAUACGGAGGGUGCGAGCGUUAAUCGGAAUGACUGGGCGUAAAGGGCACGCAGGCGGUGACUUAAGUGAGAUGUGAAAGCCCCGGGUUUAACCUGGGAAUUGCAUUUCAUACUGGGUCGCUAGAGUAUUUUAGGGGGGGGUAGAAUUCCACGUGUAGCGGUGAGAUGCGUAGAGAUGUGGAGGAAUACCGAAGGCGAAGGCAGCCCCUUGGGAAUAUACUGACGCUCAUGUGCGAAAGCGUGGGGAGCAAACAGGAUUAGAUACCCUGGUAGUCCACGCUGUAAACGCCGUCUGAUUUGGGGAUUGGGCUUAGAGCUUGGUGCCCGUAGCU